CGGAGGGUGCAAGCGUUAUCCGGAUUCACUGGGUUUAAAGGGUGUGUAGGCGGGCAGUUAAGUCAGUGGUGAAAUCUCCGGGCUCAACCCGGAAACUGCCAUUGAUACUAUCUGUCUUGAAUACCGAUGAGGUGGGCGGAAUAUGUCAUGUAGCGGUGAAAUGCAUAGAUAUGACAUAGAACACCAAUUGCGAAGGCAGCUCACUAAACGGUCAUUGACGCCGAGGCACGAAAGCGUGGGGAUCAAACAGGAUUAGAUACCCUGGUAGUCCACGCCCUAAACGAUGAUUACUCGACAUACGCGAUACACAGUGUGUGUCUGAGCGAAAGCAUUAAGUAAUCCACCUGGGAAGUACGUCCGCAAGGAUG
rnacentral:rRNA from 1 species